AUUGAACGCUGGCGGCAUGCCUUACACAUGCAAGUCGAACGGCAGCGCGGGGCAACCUGGCGGCGAGUGGCGAACGGGUGAGUAAUAUAUCGGAACAUACCCUAGAGUGGGGGAUAACGUAGCGAAAGUUACGCUAAUACCGCAUACGCACUAAGGUGGAAAGUGGGGGAUCUUCGGACCUCAUGCUCAUGGAGUGGCCGAUAUCUGAUUAGCUAGUUGGUGAGGUAAAGGCUCACCAAGGCGACGAUCAGUAGCUGGUUUGAGAGAACGACCAGCCACACUGGAACUGAGACACGGUCCAGACUCUACGGGAGCAGCAGUGGGGAAUUUUGGACAAUGGGGGGCAACCCUGAUCCAGCAAUGCCGCGUGAGUGAAGAAGGCC
rnacentral:rRNA from 1 species